AUUGAACGCUGGCGGCAUGCCUUACACAUGCAAGUCGAACGGUAACAGGUCUUCGGAUGCUGACGAGUGGCGAACGGGUGAGUAAUACAUCGGAACGUGCCCGAUCGUGGGGGAUAACGGAGCGAAAGCUUUGCUAAUACCGCAUACGAUCUACGGAUGAAAGCAGGGGACCGCAAGGCCUUGCGCGGACGGAGCGGCCGAUGGCAGAUUAGGUAGUUGGUGGGAUAAAAGCUUACCAAGCCGACGAUCUGUAGCUGGUCUGAGAGGACGACCAGCCACACUGGGACUGAGACACGGCCCAGACUCCUACGGGAGGCAGCAGUGGGGAAUUUUGGACAAUGGGCGCAAGCCUGAUCCAGCCAUGCCGCGUGCAGGAUGAAGGCCUUCGGGUUGUAAACUGCUUUUGUACGGAACGAAAAGACUCUUUCUAAUAAAGAGGGUCCAUGACGGUACCGUAAGAAUAAGCACCGGCUAACUACGUGCCAGCCGCCGCAGUAAGAC
rnacentral:rRNA from 1 species